UCAAUGUAAGUUGGCCAUAACAGAAGAAGCUUUUCAAUACCGCAAAAACUUUAGAAGCCACACUUUAAAGAGGAUUAAGAGGAGAGGAAAACUAAAACACUGAGUGGAAGGAAGGAGACUGAGCUCACAUGUUGGAGAUUUGUGACAAAGAAGGACUGAGCUGAAUGCCUGAUCUGCCAGGUGAUGUUGCUGGAGUUUUACAGCUGAAGCAGCCUUAAAACGUGUCUAAGCAGAGCCUUGUCAGAACUAUGAAGCUUACUGGGACCGGCCUUUUUGCAACAGACACUGAAUAUUUAAACAACUCAAUGCCGAUACCACUGCAGACAAACAGAGCAGAUGCACCAGUGUCAGCAUACGCUUCAUCAGUGCCACAAACUCAUGAAGACAGGAAUCAGUGUUUCAUCUGUGCAGACAGAGCCACAGGUAAACACUACGGUGCGUCCAGCUGUGAUGGUUGUAAAGGCUUCUUCAGGAGGAGCAUCCGCAACAAUCACAUGUACAGCUGUAGGUUCAACAAGAGAUGUGUCGUGGACAAAGACAAAAGGAAUCAGUGUCGUUACUGCAGACUACGGAAAUGUUUAAAAGCUGGAAUGAGAAAGGAAGCUGUUCAGAAUGAGAGAAAUUGCAUGAACUAUCACAGAGCCAAGGGACAAACAGUGGGCACUCUGUCCAUCAGUGUGCUGCUGCAAGCAGAGGCCAGCGUGCAACAGUCUCCAGUGCUGCUCUCCCUUCAGAGUCCUGACAUCAGCAUGAAGAAGACGGCCAGUGUGGGUGACGUGUUUGAAUCCAUGAAGCAGCAACUCCUCCUGCUGGUGGAAUGGGCAAAGAACAUCCCCGAGUUUUGUAGCCUCCCAAUAGAUGACAGGGUAACACUGCUACGAACCCAUUCUGCAGAACAUCUUAUUCUUGGGGCAGCAAUACGCUCCAUACCCUUCAACAAUUUAAUCCUUCUAGGCAACGACUUUGUGAUCCCACUGAGGGGGGCAGAGGUAGAGGUGUCCAGAGUUGCUUUCAGAAUCCACGAGGAGCUGGUCAAACCUCUCAGAGAACUGGACAUCACAGAUAAAGAGUUUGCUUGCCUGAGAGCCAUUGUUUUCUUUGCCCCAGACUGUCCAGGGCUACAGAAUCCCCAAGGGACGCGCCAUUUGCGUCUCCAGGCCCACCUUCUGCUUGAAGAAGCCAGCUGUGAGCAGCGAGGAAGGUUUGGGGAACUUCUGCUCAUUCUCCCUCCUCUGCAGAGUGUCGCCUGGCAGAUGGUGGAGACUCUCCAUCUGGUGCAGCUGCUGGGUGAGGCCAGACUGGACAGCCUGCUCCAGGAGAUGCUGCUGGGGGAGGGAGCUAAAGCAGGCAACAACCUGACUCAGGAUCAGCAAAAUGACCUAACAUCACCUACUAAUGUCCCUUCUGCGCCCUCACAAGAUUUGACAAGUCUUACAAGUAACCUUCCUGCUGUCCACGCAGACGAGCACUGAGGUGUACAGACAUGGAGAAGCUGCCAGUGUACCCAGGACAUACCUGCGGUGGAUGUCUUCUGCAAAUACCUCAAGAAGCAACAAUCCAACUAAGGAGUGGACAUGAAAGAAAAACUAACUUUAUUCGCCUCAGAACACACAUGUGGGCGUCUGCAGCGACUUCCAACUUAAAACUGUAACAUGGUUCAACCUUGUGGUUUUUGGGAGGCCAAAGUCAGAAAAGAUGUUAUUCAGUGAGUGGCUCAGAUUUGGGGGGCACUGUCACAUCACAAAUUCAGAUAACCGAGCCUCCCCAUCCUCCCCCAGUUCUGUGUUAGUUUGUGUUUUUUGGACCUCUGAAGUGGACACGGCAAAGCGUUAACGCCAGUUUCAAAUGAGCCACGCUCUGCAGAAGAAGGGUGUGGACUGAAAUGGCUCACUCCACUGUAAAUAAAGACAUGGUUUUUUUUAGGUUAAAAAAUUAUAACAGGCUAAUAUGUCAGUUUUAUUGCUUAGUUUAACUCUAACACAUCGCAGUUCCUCUAUGACUCUGGACUUUUCCACAGCAGGCCAUCACAGCACACCAGUACAACUAUCAUGAGCCCACUCUUCAGAAUAUUCUGAACGUGUCUAUUACCACCAGGUGGUAACAUCAUACUAUAACAUGUGAAGCACCAGUGCAGAACGGCAGCAGAACCAUGAACCAGCCCGUGCCAGUACGCACUCACUUGCAAUAAAUACUCUGGAAGGUCAACCGUUACACACAACUACAUCAUCUCACCUGUUGAAGGGAUGGUUGGAAAAUGGUGAUUCACACUUGUAGCUUUUCCAAAAUACAUCACUUUGUUUUCAAUGAAGAGAGUUGAGCUGAUGUGAUUGUCAACCCCUCUUCCGACCUCACCAUGUUUUUCUCUCGUCCCAAACCUUCCCCAUGUAAAAGUCAGUGGACCAAACCUGUGGACGUACGGAUUAAAAAAUAAUAAUAACUGGCUUAAUAGUUUCAUUUUGUAAUGAAAUGCAUUCGACAUCAGUUGGAGUGAGAGGACUGUGAGGAGAUGAGACAUGAAACAUGGAAACAAAAACAGAGCUGGACAGGUGUGCAAGUGUAACUGCCCCAUGAAAUCCCGCUCCUCGCUACCACGAAAUGGAAAACAUGAUGUGAAGCAUAAUGUUUGCAGGACUGC